GGACGAACGCUGGCGGCGUGCUUAACACAUGCAAGUCGAACGCUGAAGCUUGGUGCUUGCACUGGGUGGAUGAGUGGCGAACGGGUGAGUAAUACGUGAGUAACCUGCCCUUGACUCUGGGAUAAGCCUGGGAAACUGGGUCCAAUACUGGAUACGACAUGUCACCGCAUGGUGGUGUGUGGAAAGGGUUUUACUGGUUUUGGAUGGGCUCACGGCCUAUCAGCUUGUUGGUGGGGUAAUGGCUCACCAAGGCGACGACGGGUAGCCGGCCUGAGAGGGUGACCGGCCACACUGGGACUGAGACACGGCCCAGACUCCUACGGGAGGCAGCAGUGGGGAAUAUUGCACAAUGGGCGGAAGCCUGAUGCAGCGACGCCGCGUGAGGGAUGACGGCCUUCGGGUUGUAAACCUCUUUCAGCACGGAAGAAGCGAAAGUGACGGUACGUGCAGAAGAAGCGCCGGCUAACUACGUG
rnacentral:rRNA from 1 species